rnacentral:rRNA from 1 species
CAUCUUCGGAUGUGUAUAAAGUGGCGAACGGCUGAGUAACACGUGGGCAACCUGCCCUUUGCACUGGGAUAGCCUCGGGAAACCGAGGUUAAUACCGGAUACUCCAUAUCCAUCGCAUGAUAGAUAUGGGAAAGCUCCGGCGGCAAAGGAUGGGCCCGCGGCCUGUUAGCUAGUUGGUGGGGUAGUGGCCUACCAAGGCAAUGAUGGGUAGCCGGGUUGAGAGACCGACCGGCCAGAUUGGGACUGAGACACGGCCCAGACUCCUACGGGAGGCAGCAGUGGGGAAUCUUGCACAAUGGGCGAAAGCCUGAUGCAGCGACGCCGCGUGCGGGAUGAAGGCCUUCGGGUUGUAAACCGCUUUCAGCAGGGACGAGGCCGCAAGGUGACGGUACCUGCAGAAGAAGCCCCGGCUAACUACGUGCCAGCAGCCGCGGUAAUACGUAGGGGGCAAGCGUUAUCCGGAUUCAUUGGGCGUAAAGCGCGCGUAGGCGGUCUGUUAGGUCAGGAGUCAAAUCUGGGGGCUCAACCCCUAUCCGCUCCUGAUACCGGCAGGCUUGAGUCUGGUAUGGGAAGGUGGAAUUCCAAGUGUAGCGGUGAAAUGCGCAGAUAUUUGGAAGAACACCAGUGGCGAAGGCGGCCUUCUGGGCCAUGACUGACGCUGAGGCGCGAAAGCUAGGGGAGCGAACAGGAUUAGAUACCCUGGUAGUCCUAGCUGUAAACGAUGGACACUAGGUGUGGGGAGAUUAUACUUUCCGUGCCGCAGCUAACGCAUUA